CAGGGCAAGCCUGCAGGCGUCUCCUCUAGGAGGGUGUGGUUUCAUCAUGCGAUACCAACAUGCCCAAGCCAUCAUCUUAGCCAUCCAGAUGUGCUGGCAAAAACGGCAUGGAAGAAAAGAGCCAUGGACAGCCCUGUCUGCAAGGGAAUGUGUGCGAGUGGUGCGUGUUGGGAAAAAAAAUAAAAUAGUAAGUUUCAUU